GACGAACGCUGGCGGCGUGCUUAACACAUGCAAGUCGAACGAAGAGCGAUGGAAGCUUGCUUCUAUCACUCUUAGUGGCGCACGGGUGAGUAACGCGUAAUCAACCUGCCCUUCAGAUGGGGACAACAGUUGGAAACGACUGCUAAUACCGCAUACGAUCUAACCUCGGCAUCGAGGAUAGAUGAAAGGUGGCCUCUACAUGUAAGCUAUCACUGAAGGUGGGGAUUGCGUCUGAUUAGCUAGUUGGAGGGGUAACGGCCCACCAAGGCGAUGAUCAGUAGCCGGUCUGAGAGGAUGAACGGCCACAUUGGGACUGAGACACGGCCCAGACUCCUACGGGAGGCAGCAGUGGGGAAUCUUCCGCAAUGGACGAAAGUCUGACGGAGCAACGCCGCGUGAGUGAUGACGGCCGUCGGGUUGUAAAGCUCUGUUAAUCGGGACGAAAGGCCUUCUUGCGAAUAGUUAGAAGGAUUGACGGUACCGGAAGAGAAAGCCACGGCUAACUACGUG
rnacentral:rRNA from 1 species